CUCAGCUUACACUUGGCUCAGGAACGUGGACUUUAGGAGGUACAUCUGGGGGCAGGCUGAUGGAUCUAACAGGCCAGCAUGCAGAUGGGCGGCGCUCCAAAGUGUGGAGUUAGGACGACCCGCAGCCAGAUGCGCGGGGGCUGCCGAGGGGUCGAGGUGGGUAAGGGAGGCCUAGGGCCGUGGCCAAUGCUGACUCAAUGCUGACUCACGGUCAAGGUUGCUGCCGCUCCCAUGGCCGCUGCUGCAGUCGAUUCAAAGUGGGCCCGCGGUCCGGGUACACAGGACGAAGCCCCGCCCACACACCAUGUCACCACCAGGAGCCCCGCCCCUCGGCGCCAGCGCAGGACGCCAGCCGGUUUCCUCAGAGGCUUGCCCCGCCCGCGUUGGGGGCGGAGCCCUGUCUUGAAGGCCCGAGAGGGUUGCUCACACCGAGACGCCAGAAACCUGCCCAAACCGGCCUCACUCGCGCAUGCUCGGCGGGCCGAAGGGUCACCCCUCCACCUGAGCUCUGCGCGCCAGCCUCACUGUUUCAAUCUAGGCCAUUCAUGUGAGGAGGACAGCAAAGGAAGCCCCAGUCAAAUGGCUGAGAGAGGUCUGUGACCCGUGAUACUGAACAAGGCAGAAGACCCAGCUAUAUCAAGCAUGCAAAAGACCAUAAUUAUUCCAAGAAGAGACAGCAGGGCAACAGGCAACAGCUGUGUGUGCAGAGCCACAAGAACCUGAGAACUGUGAGAAUGCUGGAGCCUCAGCAGUACACUUGCCAGCUCAUGGCUUUCCUCAUAUUCUAGACAGAGAAUAAGAAUGUCUCUUACGGCCUUCCGAAGUAUAAA